UGCCAGCAGCCGCGGUAAUACGGAGGGUGCAAGCGUUAUCCGGAAUCACUGGGUUUAAAGGGUGCGUAGGCGGCCAGAUCAGUCAGAGGUGAAAUCCCGCAGCUUAACUGCGGAACUGCCUUUGAUACUGUCUGGCUUGAAUUGGGUUGAGGUAAGCGGAAUGUGGCAUGUAGCGGUGAAAUGCAUAGAUAUGCCAUAGAACACCGAUUGCGAAGGCAGCUUACUAGGCUAAUACUGACGCUGAGGUACGAAAGCAUGGGUAGCAAACGGGAUUAGAUA
rnacentral:rRNA from 1 species